UACGGGGGGAGCAAGCGUUGUUCGGAUUUACUGGGCGUAAAGGGCGCGUAGGCGGCCACGACAAGUCACUUGUGAAAUCUCCGGGCUUAACUCGGAAAGGUCAAGUGAUACUGUCGGGCUAGAGUACAGAAGGGGCAACUGGAAUUCUCGGUGUAGCGGUGAAAUGCGUAGAUAUCGAGAGGAACACCUGCGGCGAAGGCGGCGACCUGGGCCAAUACUGACGCUGAGGUGCGAAAGCGUGGGGAGCAAACAGG
rnacentral:rRNA from 1 species